GAGCUAAGAUGAGCCAUGGGGCCACGAGGACAGGUCAUACUCACACUGCUCGUCCUGCUGUUUGUGAUCUACAUCUCUGAGGCGGCACGUCUACGCAAGUCUUCAGCACUGGACUUUCUGCGGUCUGGCAGAGAGAAGCGAGCGGCGAGAUGUCAACAUGGAGGUUGUAGUUCUGAAGACAGCGAGGCUGAAGAAAUACCAGAGGCAAACUCAGAUUACGAGCAGGACAACUCAAAGAUGUUCUUCAAUGGGGGAUCUCAAGGAGGAGUGCAAACGAGGCCUGAUGGUGGGCCGCAGGGAGAGGGUUCAGGUAUGUAGCACCGCGGCUCCAGGAUUCAGGGCUGGAAAAAAAGAGAAAAGCCUGGAGGAAACUCAAGGCCUCUGUUGGAUACAAGCGCAGGAGCUCCAGCAUGAAAUAAAGUCAGAUACUGUAAUAAUAAUAUGAUAGACUGAAAUGUAUUAAAUCAGAGAGUAGUCCUGAAGUGUUUUUGGAUUCUGAAUUUCGCGUAGAAAGUCACACUGAAAUUGAUAAUCGAGUCUGAGAUGGAUAGGGUUCUCAAGUCCCAUGUAUUGUAUAUUAAGUGGCCUUAACUAUAACGCACUUAUAAAGUUAGUCAAAAUUAUUCACCCUCCUGUGAAAUUCAAAUUCUUUUACAAUUACGUCACGAGUGAUGUUAAACAGAGCGAUCACAUUUUCACAGUAUUUCCUAUAAUAUUUUUUUUUUCCAGAAGUUUUUUUUUUUUUUUUAGUUUGGCUGGAAUAAAAAAUAUUUAUAAUAUUUUAAAAAUGUUUUUUUAUUAUUAUUUUUGGGGGGUUUUUAAUAGGACAUUAGAGAGUAGACAGGAAAGUGUGGGGAGCAGAGAGAGGGGAAGGAUCGGCAUAGGACCACGAGGCGGGAAUCGAACUCGGGUCAGUGUUGCCAACUUUAGCGACUUUUCAGACCCCCCUAGCGACAAUUUGUCAAAAAAAGCAAAUAGCGACAAAUCUAGCAACAUUUUGUGUGUUACUGGAGAUUUUUAAAGACUGUCGUUUGUCCAUACUGUACCGUCCCUACUCUUCUCAACGAGCUGCAGAUGAUAGCGCCGGCCCCUUCCCCGCCUCAGAGCAGUGACUGGCGUCCCAGUCCUCGUGCAGCAGCCUCUCCCACCUGCAGCCCGAGAGCAGAUCACCUCUCUACGUACCGACGUCAAAUGAUUAUCUGGCAGCGUGAAGGUAUUUCCCUUGUACAGUCAAACUGAUCUGCUUCUCUUUUUCCUUCUCAUUUUAACAAUUUAAUUUGACCGUUUAUUCUUUUCGUUUUUACAAUCACAGAUAUUUUAAGAGAGAGUUUCGGAGUUUAUUAUGUCUGAGAGAUUGCAAAUUCACACAUGUAUAAUGAUAUACUGUAUUCAAACAGCAAUAAAUUUAGUUAAACUGACAUGCAUAUAUAAAGCGUAGUGCAAAUAUAAAUACCCCUUUAUUAACCAUAUGCUCAGCCUGUUUAACAGAAAUGGUAGAACGUGAUGAGAUCAGUAAUAUGCAAAUUAACAUAUGACGUAAUCUAGCGACUUUUCGGGCAGAGCUUUGUGCCUUUUCGUUGAAAAUAGUUGGCAACAUUAGCCCCUUUCACACAGUGAUACCCAUAAAUAUCUGGAAAAUUUCCGGAACGUCUUUAGCGGUAUAUUUAAAAAAGCGCUGUUCACACAGGCGAGGACGUUACGGAAAUUUUCAGGAAAAGAGCAUUCACACAUCCAUUCCAAAAUACCGGUAAAUUCUGACAUCAUUCACCACAAAUGAGCUUUAAACGGCUGCGCUUGUAUUUGUAAACAUUUGACUAAAUUACAAACUCUGUGGAUGAUCAAUAUUGUGAACAACUUUCGCAGGAUCACUUUCUCAUGUCGAGAUGUUCAUAAUAUGUGCGUGUGCAGGCGCUCACAGGCUGUUUCACAGGCACACGCAAAGCUUAAGGGUAAACAAACAACGGCUUAUCAUAAGCAUCUGAUCGAUGAUUAUUUACACAGUUGGCAUUAAGAAGAACAUAUAAACGUGAUCUGACUAACUUCAGCAUCUAAAUGUGUCUGGAAAAAUAUUCAAAGGCUUUUAUACUCAUAAACCGCGCGGACGUAAAUGCGUCUGACUGUUGUGAUUGGCUAAAGCAGACGUCUCACGUUAGCACGUUCUAGACGUGCACGCGCUUAUUCCGGCAAUCUUCCUCCUGCAUUCACACAGUGCAGCAUUCCGGCAAAUUGCCGGUAAUGUUACCACUUCUCUUUCUGGAAAAUAGCCAGAACAAAUUUACCGGUAUUUUCAAAAAGGACCUGUUCACACAUACACACCUUUCCGGAAAAUUGCUGGUAAUUUUCCGGAAAGGUCUGUAUUUGUGAAAGGGGCUAGUGACUCGGGUCGACAUGAGCACCGAAGUACAUGUGUCGACGCACUAACCACCACACCACUGGCGCCAACUUUAAAAAUAAUUAUGAGGUCAAUAUUAUUAGCCCCAUGAUGGCAAAAUCUAAAUAAAUGUUUUUAUAAAUUAUCUAUUAAAACGACUAUGCUUAAACAUGUUCUCUCUGUUAAAUUACACUUGGUAAACAUUUUGUAAAAAAAUUUAAUUUUACUGGAAUUUUACUUUAGACUUUUCGCAGUUUAAUAUAAAUAGAUUUUUUUUCACCUUAGUUAGGGCCACGCAAUAUAAAGUGGGACAGUUUCUCAUCUAAUUCUAAUAUAGAUGUGGUGAACUUUGGUGCUUUUUAAAGAAUGCUGCUGAAAGCCUUGACAUAUUAUGAUGACACUAUAGUCAUGGUGCUAAACUGACAUUAUUCAAUCUAGAGGACAGUAUUUAGAUAUGAAACUAUAAUGAAUGAAACUCACUCAUAUCAGAGGUACCUUAAUGUUACCAUGUUACAUAAUACAGAGUUUUCUUUCACCUGGUGGCUAAUGCUGUACAUACAGAGAAAUAUCUGCUACAUAACCAUAAAAUAUGUGUUUUAUAUCAUGCUACCAUGAAAGUAAUACAAUGACAAUUGUAAAAUGCAUUAAAUUGACAUUUAAAUACACUGUAAGAAAUUAAAACACAAUCUAGAAGCUUUAUUGAUGAAUUAAUGAAAUUUUUUUCAUUAACAAAUUACACACAAAUUUCUUUCUUUCUUUCAGAUUCCCACUUCAAAUUUUUGCUAUUUUGGUUUCUUUGUUUUUUGGCUCAAACUUGACUACUAUUUCCAAAAGAUUAUAAUAUGCUGGAUUUGUGUUCAUCAGUCUAGAUCAGGGGUGGCCAACCCGGUUCCUGGAGAGCCUCCUUCCAGCAGAUUUCAGUUGCUACCCAUAUGAUAUGGGUUGCAACUGAAAUCUGCAGGAAGGAGGCUCUCCAGGAACAGGGUUGGCCACCCCUGGUCUAGAUAAAUGUAACAUAAUAUAUCUUUUAAGUCCAAGAAUAUAUAUAAAGAGCAAUAUCACAUGAGUAGCAGUGCGAUAUGGCUUCUCCCACCAGUAAUGAUAAACAGCCAUACUGCACUGCUGCGUUUCAAGAGUCUCAAAAAUUGUUUUGUAUGAAGAACUACUUUCAUUUGCCAUUCUUUCAAACUUCCAACACACAGUCGUCUAAAACUAUCAUCCUAGACCUGUGUUACUGGUUAUGUCUGCUUAUCACAACACACACACACACACAGCCUGUUUUAUUAAUCAUACUGGAUUCAAUUUACGCUAUAAAAUCAUCAAUGAUAUCUAUUUUUACCAGAUUUCUUUUCCUGAAAGUGUCAUCUUGAUUUCUUAGUGCAAAUGAUUGUAUUUGUCAUAUUGUAAUGCCAAUAAAAAUGAACUAUAUUAGAAAUAUGA
rnacentral:lncRNA from 1 species